rnacentral:rRNA from 1 species
CCAGACAGCCAGGAUGUUGGCUUAGAAGCAGCCAUCAUUUAAAGAAAGCGUAAUAGCUCACUGGUCGAGUCGGCCUGCGCGGAAGAUGUAACGGGGCUAAACCAUGCACCGAAGCUGCGGCAGCGACACUGUGUGUUGUUGGGUAGGGGAGCGUUCUGUAAGCCUGUGAAGGUGUGCUGUGAGGCAUGCUGGAGGUAUCAGAAGUGCGAAUGCUGACAUAAGUAACGAUAAAGCGGGUGAAAAGCCCGCUCGCCGGAAGACCAAGGGUUCCUGUCCAACGUUAAUCGGGGCAGGGUGAGUCGACCCCUAAGGCGAGGCCGAAAGGCGUAGUCGAUGGGAAACAGGUUAAUAUUCCUGUACUUGGUGUUACUGCGAAGGGGGGACGGAGAAGGCUAUGUUGGCCGGGCGACGGUUGUCCCGGUUUAAGCGUGUAGGCUGGUUUUCCAGGCAAAUCCGGAAAAUCAAGGCUGAGGCGUGAUGACGAGGCACUACGGUGCUGAAGCAACAAAUGCCCUGCUUCCAGGAAAAGCCUCUAAGCAUCAGGUAACAUCAAAUCGUACCCCAAACCGACACAGGUGGUCAGGUAGAGAAUACCAAGGCGCUUGAGAGAACUCGGGUGAAGGAACUAGGCAAAAUGGUGCCGUAACUUCGGGAGAAGGCACGCUGAUAUGUAGGUGAAGUCCCUCGCGGAUGGAGCUGAAAUCAGUCGAAGAUACCAGCUGGCUGCAACUGUUUAUUAAAAACACAGCACUGUGCAAACACGAAAGUGGACGUAUACGGUGUGACGCCUGCCCGGUGCCGGAAGGUUAAUUGAUGGGGUUAGCGCAAGCGAAGCUCUUGAUCGAAGCCCCGGUAAACGGCGGCCGUAACUAUAACGGUCCUAAGGUAGCGAAAUUCCUUGUCGGGUAAGUUCCGACCUGCACGAAUGGCGUAAUGAUGGCCAGGCUGUCUCCACCCGAGACUCAGUGAAAUUGAACUCGCUGUGAAGAUGCAGUGUACCCGCGGCAAGACGGAAAGACCCCGUGAACCUUUACUAUAGCUUGACACUGAACAUUGAGCCUUGAUGUGUAGGAUAGGUGGGAGGCUUUGAAGUGUGGACGCCAGUCUGCAUGGAGCCGACCUUGAAAUACCACCCUUUAAUGUUUGAUGUUCUAACGUUGACCCGUGAUCCGGGUUGCGGACAGUGUCUGGUGGGUAGUUUGACUGGGGCGGUCUCCUCCUAAAGAGUAACGGAGGAGCACGAAGGUUGGCUAAUCCUGGUCGGACAUCAGGAGGUUAGUGCAAUGGCAUAAGC